rnacentral:rRNA from 1 species
UACGGAGGGGACUAGCGUUGUUCGGAAUUACUGGGCGUAAAGCGCACGUAGGCGGAUUUGUAAGUCAGGGGUGAAAUCCCGGGGCUCAACCUCGGAACUGCCUUUGAUACUGCAAAUCUCGAGUCCGGAAGAGGUGAGUGGAAUUCCUAGUGUAGAGGUGAAAUUCGUAGAUAUUAGGAAGAACACCAGUGGCGAAGGCGGCCCACUGGUCCGGUACUGACGCUGAGGUGCGAAAGCGUGGGGAGCAAACAGG